UCGAACGAACUCUGGUAUUGAUUGGUGCUUGCAUCAUGAUUUACAUUUGAGUGAGUGGCGAACUGGUGAGUAACACGUGGGAAACCUGCCCAGAAGCGGGGGAUAACACCUGGAAACAGAUGCUAAUACCGCAUAACAACUUGGACCGCAUGGUCCGAGCUUGAAAGAUGGCUUCGGCUAUCACUUUUGGAUGGUCCCGCGGCGUAUUAGCUAGAUGGUGGGGUAACGGCUCACCAUGGCAAUGAUACGUAGCCGACCUGAGAGGGUAAUCGGCCACAUUGGGACUGAGACACGGCCCAAACUCCUACGGGAGGCAGCAGUAGGGAAUCUUCCACAAUGGACGAAAGUCUGAUGGAGCAACGCCGCGUGAGUGAAGAAGGGUUUCGGCUCGUAAAACUCUGUUGUUAAAGAAGAACAUAUCUGAGAGUAACUGUUCAGGUAUUGACGGUAUUUAACCAGAAAGCCACGGCUAACUACGUGCCAGCAGCCGCGGUAAUACGUAGGUGGCAAGCGUUGUCCGGAUUUAUUGGGCGUAAAGCGAGCGCAGGCGGUUUUUUAAGUCUGAUGUGAAAGCCUUCGGCUCAACCGAAGAAGUGCAUCGGAAACUGGGAAACUUGAGUGCAGAAGAGGACAGUGGAACUCCAUGUGUAGCGGUGAAAUGCGUAGAUAUAUGGAAGAACACCAGUGGCGAAGGCGGCUGUCUGGUCUGUAACUGACGCUGAGGCUCGAAAGUAUGGGUAGCAAACAGGAUUAGAUACCCUGGUAGUCCAUACCGUAAACGAUGAAUGCUAAGUGUUGGAGGGUUUCCGCCCUUCAGUGCUGCAGCUAACGCAUUAAGCAUUCCGCCUGGGGAGUACGGCCGCAAGGCUGAAACUCAAAGGAAUUGACGGGGGCCCGCACAAGCGGUGGAGCAUGUGGUUUAAUUCGAAGCUACGCGAAGAACCUUACCAGGUCUUGACAUACUAUGCAAAUCUAAGAGAUUAGACGUUCCCUUCGGGGACAUGGAUACAGGUGGUGCAUGGUUGUCGUCAGCUCGUGUCGUGAGAUGUUGGGUUAAGUCCCGCAACGAGCGCAACCCUUAUUAUCAGUUGCCAGCAUUAAGUUGGGCACUCUGGUGAGACUGCCGGUGACAAACCGGAGGAAGGUGGGGAUGACGUCAAAUCAUCAUGCCCCUUAUGACCUGGGCUACACACGUGCUACAAUGGAUGGUACAACGAGUUGCGAACUCGCGAGAGUAAGCUAAUCUCUUAAAGCCAUUCUCAGUUCGGAUUGUAGGCUGCAACUCGCCUACAUGAAGUCGGAAUCGCUAGUAAUCGCGGAUCAGCAUGCCGCGGUGAAUACGUUCCCGGGCCUUGUACACACCGCCCGUCACACCAUGAGAGUUUGUAACACCCAAAGUCGGUGGGGUAACCUUUUAG
rnacentral:rRNA from 2 species